rnacentral:ncRNA from 2 species
AGGUUAUCACGAGUGAACGAGAGCACGGGCUCAUUGACUUCACAGCAACCUGCCAGCCGGUAAGGUGCUACAACCUGCAAAGCAUGGCUUUGAAUGAUAACGA